rnacentral:misc_RNA from 1 species
GCCUUAGUAAUAAAUUAAUACAGUAGUUUACUACCAAGUAAUAAAAUAUCACACUCUAGUCAGGUAAAUUUGUGCAGCCCAACAAUUUGAAGGGGCAGAAAAAUAGUAGUAGUACUAGUUCAUUACAUAUACAGUGGCUUGUGAUCUCUCAUUUGGGAGAUUUUCUGUAUCAGGUGUGGACAUCGAUAUUGGUUGAGAAGGGGAAGGGAAAGAGGAAAACAAUUAAAUUUAACCAAUGGAAAAAAAAGAAGAAAGAACACUAGUGUUUCAAAUUAGCAUUAGCUUGUUUUCCGCCUUUUGAAGGCGUGAUCAGGCUCCUCCCUUGUGGUUGUAACUCUAGAUUUUGGAAUUGGUUGAUUGCUUGUUGAAACGUUGUCACCCUUAACAGUGGAAGCUGAUGAAUUUACUCUCCCAUUUGCUCUCUUUCCAAGAUCAAUUUGCACAGAGAUAUUGGCUUGGGUCAAAUCUACUCCAGAACUAUGCAGCGCUUGUGUCAAGGUGUUCAAUAGCCCUUGAGAAUAGGCACUAGAGAUGCUGAUGGUACCACUUUCUAUAGGCAGCUCCAGCCUUUCUGGAUUAGCAUUUGGAAUAGCAUAAUCAGUCAUAUGCGAUCUGCUAAGUGAAAAUUGAGAAUGAGACUUUGACUCCAACUUAUCAGUAUCAGCUAUCAGCUUUGAUGAAUAAAGCGCUGCCGUGCUACUAGUCCCAGAAAAUGAAAACGUGUUUGGGUGCAUAGGAACUGUUGUCGGCUUAUUUGUUAAACCAGGCUGCUGACCUUUAUCUUUUAAACCUGUGCUGCUUAUGUUUGGUUCCAGUUUUUGCACAUUGAUAGGAUUAGCAGAAGAAAUCCCCAUUAUGCUCUCAUCAAACUUUCCAGCAUACGUCAGUGAAGCACUGGAUGCAUUGAUAAUGCGUUGAGGAAGAUUGCUAACGCCAUGAGUCGUCCUAUGGCACUUGCUCAAUGGCAACUUCGGAGGUUCAUUGUCCCAGCCUUGGUAUGAUUCCUCAUACUUGUGCACUUUCUCUUGUAGAAAAUGAAUAUAUUCAAUAACCUCCAGUAAGAAAGACGCUUUAUCUCUUUUCUGAUCACUAUUAGGGAUGAUUCCCCUCAACAUCUGAAAUCUGUCAUUGAUCUUGCUUCUUCUCCGUUGCUCUGUUGCUGAAUGUUUUGAACGUGGGGUGCUUGGCUUUUGAUCGUUGCCUUUUCCAUCAACCUUUACAGAUAAACUACCUCUAAGGUGCGACUGUGGUUCUUUCUUAAUCA